GAAGUGAGCAGGAAAGCUCCGCCAGAGAGGGUGACAGUCCCGUAUUCGAAAGUGAGAGUGACGGUUCCGGUACCUGAGUACUGCGAGACACGUGAAAUCUCGUGGGAAUCCGGGAGGACCAUCUCCUAAGGCUAAAUACUAACUGACGACCGAUAGUGUACCAGUACCGUGAGGGAAAGGUGAAAAGAACCCCUGUCAGGGGAGUGAAAGAGAAUCUGAAACCUGGUGCUUACAAGCUGUGGGAGCCGUACUUGUACGGUGACCAUGUGCCUUUUGCAUAAUGAGUCAGCGAGUUAAUCUGUACAGCAAGGUUAAGCGUAAGUGAAGCCGCAGCGAAAGCGAGUCCGAACAGGGCCACAGUUGUGCGGAUUAGACCCGAAACCGGGUGAUCUAUCCAUGAGCAGGUUGAAGCAAGGGUAAAGCCUUGUGGAGGACCGAACCAGUUCUGGCUGAAAACAGUUUGGAUGACUUGUGGAUAGGGGUGAAAGGCCAAUCAAACCCGGUGAUAGCUGGUUCUCCCCGAAAUAUAUUGAGGUAUAGCCUUGCGGAUUGUCUUAUGGAGGUAAAGCUCUGACAGAACUAGGGGUCCUAUCCGACUACCGAAUUCUUUCAAACUCUGAAUACCAUUAAGAUCUACCGCAGGAGUCAGACGGCGGGUGCUAAGGUUCGUCGUCAAAAGGGCAACAGCCCAGACCGACAGCUAAGGCCUCCAAAUGCAUGCUCAGUGGUUAAGGUGGUGGCGUUGUGCAGACACCCAGGACGUUGGCUUAGAAGCAGCCAUCGUUUAAAGAAAGCGUAAUAGCUCACUGGUUCAAUGGCGCUGCGCCGAAAAUGUAACGGGGCUAAGCAUGCUGCCGAAGCUUCGGAUUUGUCUCUGACAACUGGUAGGGGAGCGUUCUCUGCGGGCUGAAGCGGAACCGAAAGGUUUCGUGGACUGCAGAGAAGUGAUUAUGCUGACAUGAGUAACGAUAAAAUAUGUGAAAAACAUAUUCGCCGUAAAUCCAAGGUUUCCUGGGUAAAGGUAAUCUUCCCAGGGUUAGUCGGACCCUAAGGCCAGGCUGAAAGGCGUAGCUGAUGGGAAACGGGUUAAUAAUCCUGUACUUGUGCGAUUGUGCGAAGAAGGGACGCAGGAUGGUAGACAGGCCGGUUUUUGGAAUCCGGUGCAAGUGCGUAGGCGUGCUCCGCAGGCAAAUCCGCGGAGAUGAGCCGAGACACGAGUCCGUGGGCGCAAGCCCUGAAGCUGUUGAGCCACGGCUGCCAAGAAAAGCUUCUAAGUUUAGAUCGCGCGAACCGUACCGCAAACCAACUCAGGUGGAUGGGAUGAAUAAUCCAAGGCGCUCGAGAGAACUCUGGCCAAGGAACUCGGCAAAUUGACCCCGUACCUUCGGAAUAAGGGGUGCUCCCCACGGUGAGACAAAUUCUUGUUCAGCCCCGGGGAGCCGCAGAGAAAUGGUGGUGGCGACUGUUUACUAAAAACAUAGGUCUGUGCGAAGUCCUACAGACGACGUAUACGGACUGACGCCUGCCCGGUGCCGGAAGGUUAAAAGGAGGAGUCAGCGCAAGCGAAGCUCCGAUUUGAAGCCCCGGUAAACGGCGGCCGUAACUAUAACGGUCCUAAGGUAGCGAAAUUCCUUGUCGGGCAAGUUCCGACCUGCACGAAUGGCGUAACGAUCUCCACGCUGUCUCGGCCAGAGACUCGGUGAAAUUGAAGUCGCGGUGAAAAUGCCGUGUACCCGCAGAAAGACGGAAAGACCCUGUGCACCUUUACUAUAGCUUGACAUUGGGUUUUGAACCUGCAUGUGUAGGAUAGGUGGGAGGCUGUGAAAGCUGUACGCCAGUAUGGCCGGAGCCACCCGUGAAAUACCACCCUUGUUUGUUCAGGACCCUAACUCGCAGCUGUAAUCCAGCGCGAAGACAGUGUCUGGUGGGUAGUUUGACUGGGGCGGUCGCCUCCUAAAGAGUAACGGAGGCAUGCAAAGGUUCCCUCAGGCUGAUUGGAAACCAGCCGUUGAGUGCAAGCGCAUAAGGGAGCCUGACUGCAAGAGAGACAUCUCGAACAGAUACGAAAGUAGGUGCUAGUGAUCCGGUGGUCCCGAAUGGAAGGGCCAUCGCUCAUUGGAUAAAAGGUACGCCGGGGAUAACAGGCUGAUCGCAUCCAAGAGUUCACAUCGACGAUGCGGUUUGGCACCUCGAUGUCGGCUCAUCACAU
rnacentral:rRNA from 1 species